GUGUUUGUGGCCGAGUUGGUCUAAGGCGCUAGCUUAAGGCGCUAGUUUCGUUCGCGGAGCGCGGGUUCGAAUCCCGUCGAACACA
rfam:Beta vulgaris subsp. vulgaris contig108188.1, whole genome shotgun sequence.